rnacentral:rRNA from 1 species
UACGAAGGGGGCUAGCGUUGUUCGGAUUUGCUGGGCGUAAAGCGCACGUAGGCGGAUCGUUAAGUCGGGGGUGAAAUCCUGGAGCUCAACUCCAGAACUGCCUUCGAUACUGGCGAUCUAGAGUCCGGAAGAGGUGAGUGGAACUCCUAGUGUAGAGGUGGAAUUCGUAGAUAUUAGGAAGAACACCAGUGGCGAAGGCGGCUCACUGGUCCGGUACUGACGCUGAGGUGCGAAAGCGUGGGGAGCAAACAGG